rnacentral:rRNA from 1 species
GAUUUUCGUUGUUAGUUUGGUACUAAUUCGAUCUUAAAAUUCCUUCUUUGGAAAGGACGUAUUUGCUUUUUUAAAAAUCAAUUCCCUUUAGGCCUCCCUGGCGAUUCAUUAUUAGUUCUUCAAUAGCAUUGCCUUGAUCCGGGGAUGGUUCAUUCAAAAUUUUUUCCUCUCAACUUUUUUUGUUUGGGGGUUGGGCGAACAUCGUUGCUACAAGUAAUGGAGGGGUAGGGCUUGUCCCCUGCGGAGGAGCCUGAGAAAAAGCUACUACCUCCAACGAAGGCAGCAGGCGGGCCAAUUAUCCCAUCCCCCCACGGGGGGGUAGUGGCAACAAAUAAUGAUACACGGGUGCUUUUGGUCUUGGAAUUGGAAUGAGGACAAUUUAAAUCCCUUAACGAGGAACAAUU